GGUCGCUAAGCACGUGUGUUGGGCUGUCCCGCGCAGCAGUAGAGUCGAACCUCGAUUUUGUUGGUGUCCAUUGUGAGCGGCGGACUUUUAAAGGUCAUGGCGCCGGCGGAAAUCCUGAACGGGAAGGUGGUCUCCGCGCAAAUAAAGGAGAGACUGAAGAACCAAGUCAUUCAGAUGAAGGAGGAAGUACCUGGUUUCAUACCAGGCCUGGCAAUUUUACAGGUUGGCAACAGAGAUGACUCUAAUCUUUAUAUAAAUGUGAAGUUGAAGGCUGCUGAGGAGAUCGGGAUCAAAGCCACGCACAUUAAGUUACCCCGAACGGCCACGGAAUCUGAGGUGUUAAAGUGCAUCACAUCAUUGAACGAAGACCUCACUGUGCAUGGGUUCAUAGUGCAGCUGCCUUUAGAUUCAGAGAAUCCCAUUAACACUGAAACAUUGGUCAAUGCUAUUGCCCCCGAAAAAGAUGUGGACGGACUGAAUAGCAUCAGUGCUGGAAAACUUGCUAGAGGGGACCUUAGUAACUGUUUCAUCCCUUGUACACCCAAAGGAUGCUUGGAACUCAUCAAGGAGACAGGGGUGCAAAUUGCCGGAAGGCACGCUGUGGUGGUCGGGCGCAGUAAAAUCGUUGGUGCCCCAAUGCAUGACUUGCUUCUAUGGAACCAUGCCACAGUGACCACCUGCCACUCCAAGACUGCCAAUCUGAACGAGGAGAUAAGUAAAGGUGACAUCCUGGUGGUUGCAAUUGGUCAACCUGAAAUGGUGAAAGGGGAGUGGAUCAAACCUGGGGCGAUAGUCAUUGACUGUGGAAUCAAUUACGUCACAGAUGAUACAAAACCAAGUGGGAAGAAAAUUGUGGGUGAUGUAGCGUACAAGGAAGCCAAGGAGAGGGCAAGCUUCAUCACCCCUGUUCCUGGUGGCGUCGGGCCCAUGACAGUGGCGAUGCUAAUGCAGAGCACAGUAGAGAGUGCAAAGCGCUUCUUGGAGAACUUUAAGCCAGGGGAGUGGAUCAUCGAGUAUAACAAACUUAACCUGAAGACACCCGUGCCAAGUGACAUUGAUAUAUCACGGUCUUACAAGCCAAAGCCCAUUGGUAACCUGGCUCGAGAAAUUGGUCUGCACACUGAAGAGGUAGAAUUGUACGGUGAAACCAAGGCAAAAGUUCGGCUCUCAGCGCUGGAACGGCUGAAGCACCAGCCUGAUGGGAAAUAUGUGGUGGUAACCGGAAUCACUCCAACACCCCUGGGAGAGGGGAAAAGCACAACCACGAUUGGCCUGGUGCAGGCCCUUGGCGCCCAUCUGCAUCAGAAUGUCUUUGCGUGUGUGCGACAGCCUUCUCAGGGGCCCACCUUUGGGAUAAAAGGUGGCGCUGCAGGCGGUGGCUACUCUCAGGUCAUUCCUAUGGAAGAGUUUAACCUCCACCUCACUGGUGACAUCCAUGCCAUCACUGCAGCUAAUAACCUUGUGGCCGCAGCCAUCGAUGCCCGUAUGUUCCAUGAAGAGACCCAGACAGACAAGGCUCUUUUUAAUCGUUUGGUGCCAUCAGUAAAUGGAGUGAGAAAGUUCUCUGAUAUCCAGAUCCGGAGGUUGUGGAGGCUAGGCAUUGAAAAGACUGACCCUGCCACACUGACAGAUGAAGAGAUAAACAGAUUUGCAAGAUUGGACAUUGAUCCAGAAACUAUUACUUGGCAAAGAGUGCUGGAUACCAAUGAUAGAUUCCUGAGGAAGAUCACGAUCGGACAGGCUCCAACGGAGAAGGGGCACUCACGGACGGCUCAGUUUGAUAUCUCUGUGGCCAGUGAAAUCAUGGCUGUCCUGGCUCUCACCAGUUCUCUAGAAGACAUGAGAGAGAGACUGGGCAAAAUGGUGGUGGCGUCCAGCAAGAAAGGGGAGCCCAUCAGUACUGAGGAUCUGGGAGUGAGUGGAGCAUUGACGGUCCUUAUGAAGGACGCCAUCAAGCCCAAUCUCAUGCAGACAUUAGAGGGCACUCCAGUGUUUGUUCAUGCUGGGCCGUUUGCCAAUAUCGCACACGGGAAUUCCUCCAUCAUUGCAGACAGGAUUGCACUCAAGCUUGUCGGUCCCAAAGGGUUUGUAGUGACUGAAGCAGGAUUCGGAGCAGACAUUGGAAUGGAAAAGUUCUUCAACAUCAAAUGCCGGUAUUCUGGUCUCCGCCCACACGUGGUGGUGCUUGUCGCCACUGUCAGGGCUCUGAAAAUGCACGGAGGUGGCCCCACGGUUACUGCUGGACUUCCGCUUCCCAAGGCCUACAUAGAGGAGGACCUGGAGCUGGUUGGAAAAGGCUUCAGUAACUUGAAGAAGCAAAUUGAAAAUGCCAGGAUGUUUGGUGUGCCAGUGGUAGUGGCCGUGAAUGCCUUCAAGACAGAUACAGAGGCCGAGCUGGACCUCGUCAGCCACCUCGCCAAAGAACAUGGUGCUUUUGACGCCGUGAAGUGCACUCACUGGGCAGAAGGGGGCAAGGGUGCCCUGGCGCUAGCUGAGGCCGUCCAGAGGGCAGCUGCGGCCCCCAGCAGCUUCCAGCUCCUCUACGACCUCAAGCUCCCAGUCGAGGACAAAAUCAGGCUCAUUGCACAGAAGAUCUAUGGAGCUGACGACAUCGAAUUGCUCCCUGAAGCCCAGCACAAAGCAGAAGUCUACACAAAGCAGGGCUUUGGGAAUCUGCCCAUCUGCAUGGCCAAGACACACUUGUCCUUGUCUCACAACCCAGAGCUAAAAGGCGUGCCCACUGGCUUCGUCCUGCCCAUUCGCGACAUCCGCGCCAGCGUCGGGGCCGGCUUUCUGUACCCUCUGGUGGGAACGAUGAGCACCAUGCCUGGACUCCCUACUCGGCCCUGUUUCUAUGAUAUUGAUUUGGACCCGGAAACUGAGCAGGUGAAUGGGCUGUUCUAAACAGACAUCAGUGAGAGAAGAGGUGGUAGUAGCGAGCACUGGCAGUACACAAUUGUCUGUCUUCAAGAAGCUGUUUUGAAAGUUUGGCUGGUGUUUAUUCAGGCCUCCUGUCAGGAAGUGUGGGGAAAUGAAGAGAAGUCAGUCUGCCCCAAAGGUCUUCUGAAAUGAGUAGUGGGAGUUUCCCC